GUCUCUGUGGUGCAAUUGGUUUAACGCAUUCGGCUGUUGAUUGAAAGGUUGGUAGUUCAAGCACAGCUGUGGAUG